UACGUAGGUGGCAAGCGUUAUCCGGAAUUAUUGGGCGUAAAGCGCGCGUAGGCGGUUUUUUAAGUCUGAUGUGAAAGCCCACGGCUCAACCGGGGAGGGUCAUUGGAAACUGGGGAACUUGAGUGCAGAAGAGGAGAGUGGAAUUCCACGUGUAGCGGUGAAAUGCGUAGAGAUGUGGAGGAACACCAGUGGCGAAGGCGACUCUCUGGUCUGUAACUGACGCUGAGGAGCGAAAGCGUGGGGAGCGAACAGG
rnacentral:rRNA from 1 species